GACGAACGCUGGCGGCGUGCCUAAUACAUGCAAGUAGAACGCACAGUUUAUACCGUAGCUUGCUACACCAUAGACUGUGAGUUGCGAACGGGUGAGUAACGCGUAGGUAACCUGCCUGGUAGCGGGGGAUAACUAUUGGAAACGAUAGCUAAUACCGCAUAAUAUUGAUUUUUGCAUGAUAAUUGAUUGAAAGAUGCUAUUGCAUCACUACCAGAUGGACCUGCGUUGUAUUAGCUAGUAGGUGAGGUAACGGCUCACCUAGGCGACGAUACAUAGCCGACCUGAGAGGGUGAUCGGCCACACUGGGACUGAGACACGGCCCAGACUCCUACGGGAGGCAGCAGUAGGGAAUCUUCGGCAAUGGACGAAAGUCUGACCGAGCAACGCCGCGUGAGUGAAGAAGGUUUUCGGAUCGUAAAGCUCUGUUGUAAGAGAAGAACGGGUGUGAGAGUGGAAAGUUCACACUGUGACGGUAUCUUACCAGAAAGGGACGGCUAACUACGUG
rnacentral:rRNA from 1 species